GAUGAACGCUGGCGGCGUGCCUAAUACAUGCAAGUCGAACGAAACUUCUUUAUCACCGAGUGCUUGCACUCACCGAUAAAGAGUUGAGUGGCGAACGGGUGAGUAACACGUGGGCAACCUGCCUAAAAGAGGGGGAUAACACUUGGAAACAGGUGCUAAUACCGCAUAACCAUAGUUACCGCAGGGUAACUAUGUAAAAGGUGGCUAUACUACCGCUUUUGGAUGGGCCCGCGGCGCAUUAGCUAGUUGGUAGGGUAAAGGCUUACCAAGGCAAUGAUGCGUAGCCGAAUUGAGAGGUUGAUCGGCCACAUUGGGACUGAGACACGGCCCAAACUCCUACGGGAGGCAGCAGUAGGGAAUCUUCCACAAUGGGCGAAAGCCUGAUGGAGCAACGCCGCGUGGGUGAAGAAGGUCUUCGGAUCGUAAAACCCUGUUGUUAGAGAAGAAAGUGCGUGAGAGUAACUGUUCACGUUUCGACGGUAUCUAACCAGAAAGCCACGGCUAACUACGUG
rnacentral:rRNA from 1 species